rnacentral:rRNA from 1 species
GACCUGCCCACUGAAAAAUUUUAAAUGGCCGCAGUAUACUAACUGUGCAAAGGUAGCAUAAUCAUUAGUCUUUUAAUUGAAGGCUUGUAUGAAUGGUUGGACGAGAUAUUAACUGUUUCAUAAAAAUUUAUAUUAGAAUUUUAUUUUUUAGUCAAAAAGCUAAAAUAUUUUUAAAAGACGAGAAGACCCUAUAAAUCUUUAUAUUUAAAUUAUUAUAAUUUUUUGGAUUUUUUGUGUUAUGAUAAUUAAUAAUAUUUUAUUGGGGUGAUAUUAAAAUUUGAUAAACUUUUAAUUUUUAUAAGUCAUUAAUUAAUGAAUAAUUGAUCCGUUAUUAACGAUUAAAAAACUAAGUUACUUUAGGGAUAACAGCGUAAUUUUUUUGGAGAGUUCAUAUCGAUAAAAAAGAUUGCGACCUCGAUGUUGGAUUAAGAUAUAAUUUUAGGUGUAGCCGCUUAAAUUUUAAGUCUGUUCGACUUUUAAAUUCUUACAUGAUCUGAGUUCAAACCGGCGUAAGCCAGGUUGGUUUCUAUCUUUAAAAA